UACGUAGGGGGCAAGCGUUAUCCGGAUUUACUGGGUGUAAAGGGAGCGUAGACGGUAAUGUAAGUCUGACGUGAAAGCCCGGGGCUCAACCCCGGGACUGCAUUGGAAACUAUGUAACUAGAGUACCGGAGAGGUAAGCGGAAUUCCUAGUGUAGCGGUGAAAUGCGUAGAUAUUAGGAGGAACACCAGUGGCGAAGGCGGCUUACUGGACGGAAACUGACGUUGAGGCUCGAAAGCGUGGGGAGCAAACAGG
rnacentral:rRNA from 1 species